UUAAUAAUGUAAAAAUAAAUAAAUUAGAGUAGUAAUAGUUAUGAUCUUGAAACUCAAAAAAUUUGGCGGUAUUUUAGUCUAUUCAGAGGAACCUGUAAUAUAAUCGAUAUUCCACGAUGUACCUUACUUAAUUUUGUUUAAUUUGUAUAUCGCCGUUAUUUGAAAAUUUUAUAAGAAAAAUAAUUUUCAAAAAUUUUUAUUAAAAAAUAAAUCAGGUCAAGGUGCAGUUUAUAAUUAAGUUUUAUAUGGGUUACAAUAAAUUUAUUUAUACGAAUUUAAUAAUGCAAUUAAUUUUUAAAAGAAGGUGGAUUUGAUAGUAAAUUUUUAAAGAUAAGAAAAUUGAUU
rnacentral:rRNA from 2 species